UGGCGGACGGGUGAGUAAUGUCUGGGAAACUGCCCGAUGGAGGGGGAUAACUACUGGAAACGGUAGCUAAUACCGCAUAACGUCUACGGACCAAAGCGGGGGACCUCCGGGCCUCGCGCCAUCAGAUGAACCCAUAUGGGAUUAGCUUGUAGGUAAGGUAACGGCUUACCUAGGCGACGAUCCCUAGCUGGUCUGAGAGGAUGAUCAGCCACACUGGGACUGAGACACGGCCCAG
rnacentral:rRNA from 1 species